ACCCUUAAUACACAUAUAUAAAAGCAAACCCUAUACGCAAUUAGCAUAGUUUGUACAAUUUUAGCAUGCACUGAUGCUUGUAUAUUUGAUCAGAGUAUUAAUUACAAUUAAAUGAUUGUGCAGAUUUUAGGUAAAAAUCAAACAUGCAGACACUUAUCAUUUAGACAUACCCUUUUCCCAUAGCUCUUUCUUUUUUUCUUUUUUUUUAUCAACCCUAAAUAUAUAGGAAAUAAACAUGGUUGUUUUAAUUUCCCAUCAUUUUUUUUUCUGGAGGAUUUCAACCGUCUGCAUUCCAUUUCAUCAACAAGACCUUUAGAACCUGAAAUUGGCAUAGAACUUGAAUGAAAAUCUGUACUCCUUAAAUUACUAAGAACCCUAAAGUAUCUAAUAUAUAGGUAGACAAUCAAUAUACUUUAGUUAGUUUCAACACAGAAACGUAGAAUUAAGUUCGAUGGCAUAGGAUUAACUGAAGUAAGUAACUCAUGGUAUUGAAAUUAACUACGUCCAUGGUAUUGAUUACUCCAACCAUUACAAAAAAAAUCAACAUUCCACAAAAGUCAGAUUCUGACAUAACCGAUAUAAUAGUCUGAAAGACUGAUAAUACCGAAGAGAUAUGAAUGGUAUAGAGUACUAUGCGUGUUAAAAAUGCAUAAACUAUCCACCAUGAGUAUGUGCAUAGAGAACACACAAAAAAAAAAAUCACCUUUUUGAAAGAUUGUUGUUCAAAACUUUCAAUUCAACUUUAAAAAUACUUCUGGGUUCAAUCCCAAAAUUUAAAAUAAAGAAAAGAGAGACGAGUACAUACCAGAUAAAACCUAACCAAAAUCAAUAUUUAAUUCCAGUUAAAUCUAUGCUUCUGUAAAACCAUGUUCAUUACUACAAAGAAUCCCAUUUUUCGUCACAAAAUCCAUACCUUUGCUGAUCAAUUUUUCUUCUUAACCGAGCAUCCCCAAAACCCUAGCAGUUAAUCUGGUAAACUCAGGAGUAAAAUAAACGAAAAUUAGGAUGGGUUUUAAGUAGAAUCUUAUGUCUAAACUGUCAUCAGAUGCAAACAUAAAGCUGUUUUCAGUGAUUAGUCAACAUAAACCUCUUAAACGUAGGCUAACUGAGAGAACACAAGAUCAAAAUUCAUCAACUAAUUAGAGCUUCAGAUACUUGUACCUGUGAAAAUAGGCUCUCUAUAAGCGAACACAUAUACUUCAGACAAAGCAGAAAUAGAAUUACUUUUCUUGAGGAAACUGAUGCACUUCAAUCUGCAUGCUAAUAAAAGAAUAAUCCAUAUGUGGAAAGCAGCAAUACAUACCUGAGAAAUGGAAUGAGAUGCCCAUAAAGCAUACUACUGAAUGAUAUGACAACACAAGCCUAAGGGAUAGGGUAACUUAUAGCAUAUGAAGGGAAAGUGAAAACAAAAAUCAGAUACAUAUAUAUUAACAGAAAGUGAAGAAAAUAAAGGAUUGAAAGAAAGAGAUGGAGAUGGGGUGACAGAUAGAGAGUAAGCACACAUAGCUUCAAGCAUGAAACCUUAUCAUCCAAGAAAGUACCAUGUGUGCUCACUCUCUUCUGUCACCUCCCUUACCCUAAUCUGCAUUCAUUUACUGAAAUCUGAUGUGUAUCAUUGCUGCAUAAUACUUCUGGAAUGGGUUGGAUGAGGGUUAAGGGGAGAGAAAAAAACAUUCAAUUGUUUCUCUAACAAUCAACACCCUUUUUUUUAUCAAACAUUCAACACAAGUUCACUUUCUCAUGGAACAAAUGACGAACUUGAAUUGCCCUUGUGUGAAGAACUGAAGGGGGAUGCAGGGUAUAUAUAGGGAAAGAGGAAAUGUUGCAUCACGU
rnacentral:lncRNA from 1 species